GAUGAACGCUGGCGGCGUGCCUAAUACAUGCAAGUCGAGCGAACAGAUGAGGAGCUUGCUCCUCUGACGUUAGCGGCGGACGGGUGAGUAACACGUGGAUAACCUACCUAUAAGACUGGGAUAACUUCGGGAAACCGGCGCUAAUACCGGAUAAUAUAUUGAACCGCAUGGUUCAAUAGUGAAAGACGGUUUUGCUGUCACUUAUAGAUGGAUCCGCGCCGCAUUAGCUAGUUGGUAAGGUAACGGCUUACCACGGCAACGAUGCGUAGCCGACCUGAGAGGCGGAUCGCCCACACUGGAACUGAGACACGGUCCAGACGACUACGGGAGGCAGCAGUAGGGAAUCUGCGGCAGUGGGCGAAAGCCUGACGGAGCAGCGCCGCGUGAGUGAUGAAGGUCUUCGGAUCGUAAAACUCUGUUAUUAGGGAAGAACAAAUGUGUAAGUAACUAUGCACGGCUUGACGGUACCUAAUCAGAAAGCCACGGCUAACUACGUG
rnacentral:rRNA from 1 species